UACGUAGGGGGCAAGCGUUGUCCGGAAUCAUUGGGCGUAAAGAGCGUGUAGGCGGCUCGGUAAGUCCGCUGUGAAAGUCCAGGGCUCAACCCUGGAAUGCCGGUGGAAACUGUCGAGCUAGAGUCCGGAAGAGGCGAGUGGAAUUCCUGGUGUAGCGGUGAAAUGCGCAGAUAUCAGGAAGAACACCCGUGGCUAAGGCGGCUCUCUAGUACGGUACUGACGCUGAGGAGCGAAAGCGUGGGUAGCAAACAGG
rnacentral:rRNA from 1 species